rnacentral:rRNA from 1 species
AUGCAGUCGGGGAGGAAUGAUGAAAACAGCGGCGAUGCGGCGUCCCGACUUGAUCCACUUGAUGAUGAAGAAGAAGUCUUCCAUGGUGAAGCUCCCGGACACGCUAGAUCAGCACGGAGGCAACGAUGGUCGCAACGACGACAUGGCGGCGGACGAGCUCGGGAUCGAGCAAUUGGAGAGGGAGAGGGGCAAGUGGGGGAAGGGGAUUAG